UGCAGUCGAGCGGAUGAAGGGAGCUUGCUCCCUGAUUUAGCGGCGGACGGGUGAGUAAUGCCUAGGAAUCUGCCUGGUAGUGGGGGAUAACGUUCCGAAAGGAACGCUAAUACCGCGUACGUCCUACGGGAGAAAGCAGGGGACCUUCGGGCCUUGCGCUAUCAGAUGAGCCUAGGUCGGAUUAGCUAGUUGGUGAGGUAAUGGCUCACCAAGGCGACGAUCCGUAACUGGUCUGAGAGGAUGAUCAGUCACACUGGAACUGAGACACGGUCCAGACUCCUACGGGAGGCAGCAGUGGGGAAUAUUGGACAAUGGGCGAAAGCCUGAUCCAGCCAUGCCGCGUGUGUGAAGAAGGUCUUCGGAUUGUAAAGCACUUUAAGUUGGGAGGAAGGGCUGCUGGUUAAUACCCUGCAGUUUUGACGUUACCAACAGAAUAAGCACCGGCUAACUUCGUGCCAGCAGCCGCGGUAAUACGAAGGGUGCAAGCGUUAAUCGGAAUUACUGGGCGUAAAGCGCGCGUAGGUGGUUCGUUAAGUUGGAUGUGAAAGCCCCGGGCUCAACCUGGGAACUGCAUCCAGAACUGGCGAGCUAAAGUACGGUAGAGGGUGGGGGAAUUUCCUGUGUAGCGGUGAAAUGCGUACAUAUAGGAAGGAACACCAGUGGCGAAGGCGACCACCUGGACUGAUACUGACACUGAGGUGCGAAAGCGUGUGGAGCAAACAGGAUUAGAUACCCUGGUAGUCCACGCCGUAAACGAUGUCAACUAGCCGUUGGAAUCCUUGAGAUUUUAGUGGCGCAGCUAACGCAUUAAGUUGACCGCCUGGGGAGUACGUCCGCAAGGAUAAAACUCAAAUGAAUUGACGGGGGCCCGCACAAGCGGUGGGGCAUGUGGUUUAAUUCGAAGCAACGCGAAAGACCUUACCUGGCCUUGACAUGCUGAAAACUUUCCACAGAUGGAUUGCUGCCUUCGGGAGCUCAGACUCAGGGGCUGCAUGGCUGU
rnacentral:rRNA from 1 species